CGGGAGGACCCCCGCUGUUGUGCGGCCGACUGCCGGUGCCUGUGUCCCUUCAAUCGUUGGGCAAUGUGUGCCUAUUGUCUAUACGAGUGCUUGCGUGCUGCUACCAGUAACACUGGAAGUUGCAUUGCUACAAGUUGCUUUUGCCGUGCAUGUCCUUACGGGCAUGUCACGUCAACCUUAAAAUGCUCAUGGCGUUGCCUCGUGUCGUUGGCCGCAUAGGCUAGCGGCAUCAAGGCCACCUCGUGAACGUUAUUGGUCUCGGAUGUGGCAUACUAUAAAGGCUGAUGGUGCUUUGGCACCUCAUGCCUACAAAGUAUUGUCCGAUCGGAAACAACGACAGUUGGCCUGGCUGAUGCCUUGUGCGGAAGCUAGUGCU
rnacentral:misc_RNA from 1 species